rnacentral:rRNA from 1 species
GGAAUAUUGGGCAAUGGAGGGAACUCUGACCCAGCGACGCCGCGUGCGGGAUGAAGGCCUUCGGGUUGUAAACCGCUUUCAGCAAGGAAGAAGCGAAAGUGACGGUACUUGCAGAAGAAGCACCGGCUAACUAUGUGCCAGCAGCCGCGGUAAUACAUAGGGUGCAAGCGUUGUCCGGAAUUAUUGGGCGUAAAGAGCUCGUAGGUGGUUCGUCACGCCGGAUGUGAAAAUCUGGGGCUUAACCCCAGACCUGCAUUCGAUACGGGCGAGCUAGAGUGUGGUAGGGGAGACUGGAAUUCCUGGUGUAGCGGUGGAAUGCGCAGAUAUCAGGAGGAGCACCAAUGGCGAAGGCAGGACUCUGGGCCAUUACUGACACUGAGGAGCGAAAGCGUGGGGAGCGAACAGGAUUAGAUACCCUGGUAGUCCACGCCGUAAACGGUGGGCACUAGUUGUGGGGACCUUCCACGGUCUCUGCGACGCAGCUAACGCAUUAAGUGCCCCGCCUGGGGAGUACGAUCGCAAGAUUAAAACUCAAAUGAAUUGACGG